GGAAGUAAAAGUCGUAACAGGGUUUCCGUAGGUGAACCUGCGGAAGGAUCAUUCAUAAUAAAGUGUUUUAUGGCACUUUUUAAAAAUCCAUAUCCACCUUGUGUGCAAUGUUAGAUCUCGUCAAUCUUGGCGAGAUUUUUAUACAUCAACUCAUUCUUUAACUAAUUUGUCUGAAAAAUAUUAUGAAUACUUAAUUCAAAAUACAACUUUCAACGACGGAUCUCUUGGCUCUC
rnacentral:misc_RNA from 1 species